rnacentral:rRNA from 1 species
GAUGAACGCUGGCGGCGUGCCUAAUACAUGCAAGUCGAACGAAACUUCUUUAUCACCGAGUGCUUGCACUCACCGAUACAGGGUUGAGUGGCGAACGUGUGAGUAACACGUCUUCAGCCUGCCCAAAAGAGGGGGGUGACACUUGGAAACAGGUGCUAAUACCGCAUAACGAUAGUUAGAGAAUGUUAGCGGUGGGAAAGGGGGCUAUAGUACCGCAUUUGGAUGGGGCGGCGGCGCAUUAGCAAGGUGUUAGGGUAAAGGCUUACCAAGGCAAUGAUGGGUAGCCGAAUUGCGAGGUUGAUCAGCCACAUUGGGACUGAGACACGCCACAAACUCCUACGGGAGGCACCAGUAGGGCAUCUUCCGCCAUGGGCGAAAGCCUGAUGGCGCAACGCCGAGUGGGUGAAGAAGAUCUUCGGAUCGUAAAACCCUGUUGUUAGAGAAGAAAGUGCGUGCGCGUAACUGUUCACGUUUCGACCGUAUCUAACCAGAAAGCCACCGCUAACUACGUG